rnacentral:snoRNA from 1 species
AACCUCCAGUUUCGUUCCCCAUCAGAUAUAAACACUCUUCUGAAUGGUUGCAAAAGGAGGAAAGAGAGAUUUAAAUUGACUUCAAUGCUUUUGUAACACAAAGGCUAGUUCAAGUUGUU